CUGACUGACAACACAAAUGUCAUAUAACUUUUCUUCGAUGAUUUGACAAAAAGGCUAACAUUAAGUACCCAUGAAGUAAGCAGUAACUCCUUUCCACGUACUAUCAGUGGGCAAAAAAGGCACAGAGAAGUCUAUGGCUCAAGUUCACAGGUUAGAUGAAAUACAAGUUUCUGACCCGGUAUCAACUUGGAUGAAAAAGAGUUCUAUAGUUAUCCAUGGAGAUGAGCUGCUGGAAGAUCAGCUGAGACCUACGUCUGAUAAGGCUUCAUUUCUCCCACCUUUACAAACAGACUGCUGCGUUUUCUUGACCUUUUAAUAACUGAUAGUUUUAAAGAAAAGAUUGUUCUGAUAGCGUCUUAAAAGUUGAAAGAGGAUCAGAGAUAUCUCUGCAAGAUUAGAAGAAGCCAUACUUACAGCAGCUUAUGACACAGUGAAGUACUGUACAUGUUGCAGUAACUCUUCCAAAGAUGUUUGAGACCAAGAACAGCUGAAUUGCUCUGCGUUUUAAGAGGCUCUUUUGGGAGACAUCAUUAUACUGCUGCUUCCCCUAUACAGAAACCUGUAGCCCUUGUGGCAACCUGGUGCAGUCCAGUGUCUUCCUGAAUGUGUCUGCUGAGCCAUAAGCAGAAUAUAUAAGCACGAGCAUCUGGCUUCUUCGAAGAAUAGCAUCAGAAUGAAGAAAAUGAUGGAGGAGGACGAGCUGUGAGCCUUGUUGCUGAUCCGCACAGAG